GAUGAACGCUGGCGGCGUGCUUAACACAUGCAAGUCGAACGAAGCGACUGUGAUUGAGACUUCGGUGGAUUGACCAGUUGACUUAGUGGCGGACGGGUGAGUAACGCGUGGGUAACCUGCCUUACACAGGGGGAUAACAGUUAGAAAUGACUGCUAAUACCGCAUAACCCGCUAAGAUCGCAUGAUCUGUGCGGAAAAGAUUUAUCGGUGUAAGAUGGACCCGCGUCUGAUUAGCUGGUUGGUGGGGUAACGGCCCACCAAGGCGACGAUCAGUAGCCGGCCUGAGAGGGUGAACGGCCACAUUGGGACUGAGACACGGCCCAA
rnacentral:rRNA from 1 species